rnacentral:rRNA from 1 species
AUUGAACGCUGGCGGCAGGCCUAACACAUGCAAGUCGAACGGUAACAGGAAGAAGCUUGCUUCUUUGCUGACGAGUGGCGGACGGGUGAGUAAUGUCUGGGAAACUGCCUGAUGGAGGGGGAUAACUACUGGAAGCGGUAGCUAAUACCGCAUAACGUCGCAAGACCAAAAAGGGGGACCUUCGGGCCUCUUGCCAUCGGAUGUGCCCAGAUGGGAUUAGCUAGUAGGUGGGGUAACGGCUCACCUAGGCGACGAUCCCUAGCUGGUCUGAGAGGACGACCAGCCACACUGGAACUGAGACACGGUCCAGACUCCUACGGGAGGCAGCAGUGGGGAAUAUUGCACAAUGGGCGCAAGCCUGAUGCAGCCAUGCCGCGUGUAUGAAGAAGGCCUUCGGGUUGUAAAGUACUUUCAGCGGGGAGGAAGGGAGUAAAGUUAAUACCUUUGCUCAUUGACGUUACCCGCAGAAGAAGCACCGGCUAACUCCGUG